AUAGCAUGAAGGCACAACUGACCGUUAUAUCAAUUGCAGUCAUAGGGGUAUUUAUAGGGUCCCUAGAUCCCUGUCAUGCUGAAGAUUACAACAUUUUACCCCUCCAACUACUAUAUAUAUUCUAAUGAUAUUCUAGGGGUACAAGGUAAUUUCCUAUUUAAGUUCCCCAUUACAACUUUACAACUCAGCUCAGUGCUGCUCUGCAUGGUCUUUAGUAUUAGGCCAAAGUGGGCGAAAGCUUCCGCUUUCUCGAUCCUCCUGAAAAGCUCUACUGCUCCGCAUCCCAACUCUGUGCUUGCAAGAACCCUUCGGUCAAUAGACUGAUGGAUUUCACUUUGAUUUAUUCGAAGCGUCAAGCCGUAGAAUCCGUCUCUGCUGACUCUCUCCA
rnacentral:lncRNA from 1 species